AAAAAUUGCCAGUAUGAAGAACUUGAAGAUCAAAGUUUUGUUGAUGUUGCUACUCAUGCAACCUCUCCAUGGAGAGAAAGCAAAGUGGUAUCAUAGUUGUUCCCAAAUAUUCUGGUGAACAUCACUAUAGAUACAUGGUAGCAGUUCAAAAUGGGCUGAAAAGAGCAGUAAAGACACCCAAAGUCAGAUUGCAGUUGAUAGGAGACCAGGGGGUAUCUCCUGAAUAUAAUCUGAAUGAACAUGGGAGGAAGCACAAUU